rnacentral:lncRNA from 1 species
CCAUACCUAUUUCUGAAGCAAAAUGGAAAAACAGUUGUUGUUUGGGUCCUUUUAGCCUGAAACAGAUGCACUAGAACUUCCCCAAUGAUGAAUGAUGAUGGUUGUUUUGCUUGAGAUGGCUUGUUCACUUGGAGUUUGAUUGACUGUUUUUGAAAAGUGCAAAAUGUGUUUUUUGAGUGAAUGAGAACCAAGGCUUUCUGGUUGAUUAUGUUGGCUGUUAUUGAUUUAGGAUGAUGCUUGAAUGGUGGAA